rnacentral:rRNA from 1 species
UACGUAGGGGGCAAGCGUUGUCCGGAAUCAUUGGGCGUAAAGCGCGUGUAGGCGGUUCAGUAAGUCUGCUGUGAAAGUCCAGGGCUCAACCCUGGGAUGCCGGUGGUUACUGCUGAACUAGAGUACGGAAGAGGCGAGUGGAAUUCCCGGUGUAGCGGUGAAAUGCGCAGAUAUCGGGAGGAACACCAAUUGCGAAGGCAGCUCGCUGGGACGUCACUGACGCUGAGACGCGAAAGCGUGGGGAGCAAACAGG